rnacentral:rRNA from 1 species
GACGAACGCUGGCGGCGUGCUUAACACAUGCAAGUCGAACGAUGAAGCCGGAGCUUGCUCUGGUGAAUUAGUGGCGAACGGGUGAAUAACACGUGAGUAACCUGCCCUUGACUCUGGGAUAACUGCUAGAAAUGGUAGCUAAUACCGGAUACGACCCUCGGAGGCAUCUCCAGGGGGUGGAAAGAAUUUCGGUCAAGGAUGGACUCGCGGCCUAUCAGCUAGUUGGUGAGGUAAUGGCUCACCAAGGCGACGGCGGGUAGCCGGCCUGAGAGGGUGACCGGCCACACUGGGACUGAGACACGGCCCAGACUCCUACGGGAGGCAGCAGUGGGGAAUAUUGCACAAUGGGCGCAAGCCUGAUGCAGCAACGCCGCGUGAGGGAUGACGGACUUCGGGUUGUAAACCUCUUUUAGUAGGGAAGAAGCGAAAGUGACGGUACCUGCAGAAAAAGCACCGGCUAACUACGUGCCAGCAGCCGCAGUAA